rnacentral:rRNA from 1 species
UACGUAGGGGGCAAGCGUUGUCCGGAUUUAUUGGGCGUAAAGAGCGUGUAGGCGGCCAGGUAGGUCUGCUGUGAAAACUCGAGGCUCAACCUCGAGAUGUCGGCGGAAACCAUCUGGCUAGAGUCCGGAAGAGGAGAAUGGAAUUCCCGGUGUAGCGGUGAAAUGCGCAGAUAUCGGGAAGAACACCCGUGGCGAAGGCGGCCCCCUGGUUGGAUACUGACGCUGAUACGCGAAAGCGUGGGGAGCAAACAGG